GCUUGUCUCAAAGAUUAAGCCAUGCAUGUCUAAGUAUAAACAACUUUAUACUGUAAAACUGCGAACGGCUCAUUAUAUCAGCAAUAAUUUAUUUGAUGGUUUCUUACCCCAUGGAUAACUGUGGUAAUUCUAGAGCUAAUACAUGCGUAAAGUCCCGACUCUUUCUGGGGAGGGAUGUAUUUAUUAGAUACAAAACCAACCCGGGCAACCGGUCCUUUGGUGAUUCAUGAUAACUUUGCGAAUCGCAUAGCUUUAAUGCUGGCGAUGGGUCAUUCAAAUUUCUGCCCUAUCAACUUUCGACGGUAGGAUAGAGGCCUACUGUGGUGAUAACGGGUAACGAAGAAUAAGGGUUCGAUUUCGGAGAGGGAGCCUGAGAAACGGCUACCACAUCCAAGGAAGGCAGCAGG
rnacentral:rRNA from 1 species